UCUGAAGCCACAGCCCAAGCUGUACAUUGGCCCCUUUCAGCCAUGGCUGGAGUGGCUGCGACACAGGGCACCAAGUCUCUAGGCUGCACACAGCACAAGAAGCCUGGCCCAUGAAACCACUUUUUCCUCCUGGGCCUCCAGGCCUGUGAUGGGAGAGGCUGCCAUGAUGGUCUCUGAUAUGGCCUGGAGAUAUUUACCUCAUGGUCUUGGAGGUUAACAUUAGGCUCCUUGCUACUUAUGCAGAUUUCUUCAGCCAGCUCGAACUUCUCCCCAGAAAUCUAGUUUCUUUUUUAUAUUUCAUAGUCAUACUGCAAAUUUCCAAACUUUUAUGCUGUGCUUCCCUUAUAAAACCAAAUGCCUUUAACAGCACCCAAGUCACCUCUUGCUGCUUAGAAAUUUCUUCUGCCAGAUAUCCCAAAUCAUCUUUCUCAAGUUCAAAGUUCCACAGAUCUCCAGGACAGGAGCAAAAUGUCACCAGUCUCUUUGCUAAAGCAUAACAAGAGUCAUCGUUACUCCAGUUCCCAACAAGUUUCUCAUCUCCAUCUGAGACCACCUCAGCCUGGAUCUUAUUGUCCAUAUCAUCAUCUGCAUUUUGGGCAAAGCCAUUCAACAAGUCUGUAGGAAGUUGCAAACUUUCCCACAUUUUUCUGUCUUCUUCUAAGUCCUCCAAACUGUUCCAGCCUCUGCCAGUUACCUAGUUCCAAAGUCAUUUCCACAUUUUUGGAUAUCUUCUCAGCAACGCCCCAAUGUACUGGUACCAAUUUACGGUAUUAGUCCAUUUUUACUCUGCUGGUAAAGACUUACCAUUCCACAUGGUUGGGAAGGCCUCAGAAUCAUGGCAGGAGGAAAAGUCACUUCUUACAUGGUGGGGGCAAAAG
rnacentral:lncRNA from 1 species